GUGCCAGCAGCCGCGGUAAUACGUAGGGCGCAAGCGUUGUCCGGAAUUAUUGGGCGUAAAGAGCUCGUAGGCGGUUUGUCGCGUCUGCUGUGAAAACGCAAGGCUUAACCUUGCGCCUGCAGUGGGUACGGGCAGACUAGAGUGCGGUAGGGGAGACUGGAAUUCCUGGUGUAGCGGUGGAAUGCGCAGAUAUCAGGAGGAACACCGAUGGCGAAGGCAGGUCUCUGGGCCGUUACUGACGCUGAGGAGCGAAAGCAUGGGGAGCGAACAGGAUUAGAUAC
rnacentral:rRNA from 1 species